rnacentral:rRNA from 1 species
GACGAACGCUGGCGGCGUGCUUAACACAUGCAAGUCGAACGGAAAGGCCCUGCUUUUGUGGGGUGCUCGAGUGGCGAACGGGUGAGUAACACGUGAGUAACCUGCCCUUGACUUUGGGAUAACUUCAGGAAACUGGGGCUAAUACCGGAUAGGAGCUCCUGCUGCAUGGUGGGGGUUAGAAAGUUUCGGCGGUUGGGGAUGGACUCGCGGCUUAUCAGCUUGUUGGUGGGGUAGUGGCUUACCUAGGCUUUGACGGGUAGCCGGCCUGAGAGGGUGACCGGCCACAUUGGGACUGAGAUACGGCCCAGACUCCUACGGGAGGCAGCAGUGGGGAAUAUUGCACAAUGGGCGGAAGCCUGAUGCAGCAACGCCGCGUGCGGGAUGACGGCCUUCGGGUUGUAAACCGCUUUCGCCUGUGACGAAGCGUGAGUGACGGUAAUGGGUAAAGAAGCACCGGCUAACUACGUG